CCCUUCUGGUUCACUCACCAGAGUGAACAUUGGCUCCAUCUGACGUCCCACUUUGCACUUCUCAGGUGCUCCACAAAUGUUUACUUAAAUGUUGAGGCAAACUGAGAGAAAACUCAGCCUAGCCGGCUGGGGCAAGAGGAAGAGGUUGCACUUCAGGGGUGCCAGCCUCUGUCUAGGUGGCCCUGUGGCUUCCCAGUUCCGAGGACACGCCAAGUCCUCACUAUUCCGAGCUCCCUGCUCGUGCCAUUAUCUAUUAUCGCAAGGGACUUUACCGCGAUGAGAGGCUCUAUCACUUUCAUCCACAGAUCAGAUUUCACUGAAACGCAGUUACAUGCUGAUUUAAAUAACAAUCCGUAGCUGUUUAGCAUCAGGAACAGAGAAGGAGCCUCGCACUUUGGAUCUAGGCUCUGCGCUGACAGCCCUUUCUGUGGUCAUAAAGGUUAUCCAAAUCUGCCGGUUGCCAAUGCGACACACAUUUCUGCCACCAUGUUUUGGGAGGGGGGCAGACCCAGUCAUCCGGAACCUCCGGGCAGUGGGCCAGGCUCCUUGACCAAACUCUCCCGCUCUUGGAGCACGCAGAGGAGAUCCGGGGAAGCAGAGCUGUGGCCGCCUGGCCUUUGGCUGCCCUGUCCUUUGGGAGCUGGAAGGCUUUGGCUAUAAAGUGGUGAACACAUCAAGAUCUCCCCAUCCUCAUGGAGCUGACCUUCUAGUAGGAAAGACAAUGACUAGACAAGCAUCUGCCAGGAAGUCAGGUCAAGGUUACGGCUGCAGGAUGGACGGGAGGACAGGCCAGAACUGAAUGGCCACUAUGGAGAUCAAACCCAGGCAUGGUGAUGCCUUUCUGAACGCGGACCUCUGAUCCUCUGCUCGAGUCUCUGGGCAGAUGGUUACAACGCGGAUUCCUGGCACCCCCCCACCCCCACGCCCGGCCCACCGAAUCAGAAUCUGAGGGACGUUGUCAUUGACCUAAGUCCUGCAGGUGUGUGCUGGGAGGCGGGGCCAAGGAGGAGGUUUUCCAACUGCUUGACUGUUCCUUACACGUUCUCCGCAUCAGAGCAUGCCAAGGACUAGAGACACCGCUGUGCAGGUAGCCGUCCCUACUCUCAGGCACUUGGGACUCUUCCAUGUUAUGGAUAAUGUGGGCGUGAACAUCCUUAUGCACACUUGCCCUUAUGCGGACUCGUGCCUUAAAGUCCAUUCUCAGAACAAAGGAUGAAAAGGAUAUGAACAUUUUUAUGGCUCCUACCAUAAUAGCACUAAAUUGCAUUUUCCAGAAAGGCUGCACAUUUGCGCCGACACCUGCAACGUGCAAGAGUGUCGAUUUCAUCACAGUGCUGCCAGCAUUUCGGCCCCUCAGUUAAAGAUAAGGAAACUGAGGCUGCAUUGCUGAAGUGACCUGUGACCUAUGUCAAGUGACACAUUCAGUCAGUGCCAGAACUGGGACAAGAACCCAGGGAUUUCUCAUUCAGGGGCCAGGAUGUUUCGCCACGGCCGACUUCCUCAGGCUCCAAAGAGGCAGGAGGGAGAAAUCAAGUCUGGCAGGUCACUCUCUGUCCCCCACCCCUCCCUGCCAGCUCUGACCUCAGCUAGGAGCUCACGUUUCAGUGCAUUUCAUUGUUUUUCUGCCUGUAAAACCGGGCCUCUCCCUUGUCUGCUCAAGCUCCACAUCCUGAGUGAACUCUCUGAUUCCUCCGAGGAGGCCAUCACAUACUUGAACCGUGGGUUAGAUGCAGAUAAGUGGACGGGGAAGGAGUGGGACAAAGGCGAGAUGACGGUCCGGUCCGGGGAAGGACAAAGGCCAGGCCAGAUCGGCCAGAGCAGUGGGGGCCCCAGGGGGAAAGUUAAGACGCAAAGGAGUUGGGGCCCAGGGUGGCAGACAAAGGAGUCCAAAUGGGGGGCCUUGAGCACACGCCUAGGCCUCCAUCUGCUACUGGGAUGUGGGUUGUUCCCAUGAGAAAACUGGGUUCUGGCUUUAGCCGGGGGCGGGGGGGCAGUCCUUACCAAGGUGUCUGAGGGUGCAGAGGAUUCCCAACCCCCCAGCUAAUCAUAUGGAAAUUGCAUGAGUAUGUGAGCGUGUUCCUUUUUCUGGGAAGACAGCCCAUAGAGCUUAACAGAUUUUCAAAAAAGUUUAUGACCCCCUGUAAAAGUUCAAAAAAUAAAAGUUAGAUGAAGAGUGGAAGUCAUUGAGAAGUCAGAACUGUUUGUUGUAGGAAUUAUAUAUGUGUUUUUACCCAGGGUAAGGAGAGAGGAGAUAAUUACAGGUGGUCCUUCUCAGAUAGGUUGAUGAUGGAUGGAUGGAUGGAUACAUUUGAUAAAUGAAUGAAAGGAAGGAAGGA